rnacentral:lncRNA from 1 species
AUCGAUUAUAUCUCGAUUUUCACUGUAAAAAUUGAUAUACCAACUGUAUCUCGGUAUCGACUAUAUCUCGACUUUUCACUAUAAAAGCCGACUCUAAUUGAAUGACUAUUUAUGCCGACUUAGUUUUAACUAAGCAGAAUACUAUGCCAAUACGACACAGAUCGAAUUGAAACUAUACCGACUUAACUACGAUCAGUCGAAGGAUAUUCGACUUGCCAUCGAUGUGCCACAUUUAUCAAAUAACUAGACAUAUUGACUUGAUUAUGGUC